AAAAAGAUAAGCUAAUAUAAGCUUUUGGGUUCAUACCCCAACUAUAAAGAUUUCUUUUCUUUUUA
rnacentral:tRNA from 1 species